rnacentral:lncRNA from 1 species
UCGAGACGAUGGACACAAUUUUGGUAGGAUUUCAUGCUAGUGGCUGGAUGGGCUCAGGAUAAUCGAUCGUUACAAACACUUGUGUGCGUUGGCAAAUAACUCCUUGCUAAAUAAGUGAAAUUUCACAGGAUAUGGUGAGCGUUAGAGAGGAUGCACGGCUUCUAAAAGACAAUUAAGCAUAAGCAUGUUUCUAACCUGAGGUUGUCAUCCUCAAGAGCAGAAAAAUUUCAUGGGUGCGGAGCACAAACUAAAGCAAUGCGUAUGUGCUGGUGAACGGGAUUGCAAGCUUUAACUGGCCACAGGAGCCUCAAAACAGAGUAAGAAGCUGGGAGAUAACUUCCAUGAAGGCAAGAAAGAUUGUAAAGACCUCACUUUAAUUAAAUAAUUAACAUUCUUCCACAAAAAAAAAAUAACUAACAUGCAAACUUGCCUACGAUUUAACUCAUACUUAAUAUGAGACUGGACAUUGCUAAUUAAAUUCCAAACUACCAGAUGAGAAUAUCAAACAACUAACAGAUUGUAAUGGUUUUUUUUUCAAAAAAGAAACAAAAAACUCAGAGAUGGAUAUCUAGCCAGUAACUAUGUCAAUUCAUGAACUGCAACCCUGUUAAUACCAGUCUAUCAACAUAUAAUCCAAGGCAGAAAGUCAGUAAAAUACAGUAGAAUUGAAAAUCUAAUUACUUCAAAUGGCUGCUACACGGUCACUAUUUACCCUGAAAGGAGGGAAGCCAUACUUUACAGAUUGUUUCCAUUCAUGAUUUAACCUGCUCGGUCAAUUUAGAUGAAAUCAAGAAAGAAUGAGGUAAAGAAUACCAUAUUGCAAAGUCCUUUUUUUUUCCUUUUGAGAAAAACCACAGUAGAAAUUUCAAAAAACAAUUUAUGAGAAAGAAGGGUGCUGCCAUUAUUGCCCAUGUCACAGCAUGAGAUUCUAAGACUAGAAUCUCUACCAAACAGCUAUGAGGUUAGCUGGUUAGCACCACUCUCCUUCAAGAGCUUAUCCCUGGAAGGUUCAAACUCUGGUGGUAAUGCAUUAUUACUGUAUACUAGAAGCAAUUUUUGUGUAGCAAUCCUAAUCAAUUUUUCUGAAGGAAAGGAAGAAAAGGGGGGAAAAAAACAGAGGAAAACUUCAUAUUGACCUAUAACGAAUAGUUUGUAAGGAACUGGAUUUAUCUUCAACCCUGCUUGAAUUCAAGGAACACCUAUCUAUGGUGGGCCUAUCAAGAAAGAGAACUUAUAAAAUUCAUGGGAUCCCAGAGAACUCAAAUAACAGUAACCUAAAUGCUUUCAGACAUUCAGAAAAUGCAAGUUCUGUCCAUUCAUGGGAU